GGAAGCUCAUCUGGAACACCAGGCACUGGGACCACCAGCACUGUUACACCAUCAGGAACAAGAGGAACAGAUACAGCCACAACUGCAGCUCCUGGAACGAGCACAUCUGGAGGAACAGGCACACCCAGAGCAUCCUCUGCAACAACCUCUGCAGCAGCUGUCAGCAGCAGCCCUGGGACAAGAAGCACUGGAGCCCCAGAUUCUGAUUCUGCAAGGACCACUACUGCUAGUUCAGUGGCCACAACCAAACCAUCUACCUCUGCCAGCACAGAACCAGGAACCAUAAGCACUCCUGGAGGCUCUACCACUGUAAGUCCUGAAACAUCAACUAGACCAGUCACUACCUCUGCUGAGAGCAGUGCAGGGACCACUGCACCAUCAGCUGGUGAAACAACUAGAGCCUCUAGCAGUCAAUCAACCCAGCCUGGAGAACAAUCAGGUGAGCAGGUAGUAUUCAGAAGUGUGGAGUCAUCACCCUGUUUCUCACUUAAAGCA
rnacentral:lncRNA from 1 species